AGAGAGGUCUGCCUACGACUGGGAUAACUUCCCGGCACGUGCUUCAAAGGCACAGAGAGGUUCUGGGCAGAAGAGCAGAGAGGCUCAAGCUGACACCUACCACCUCCAGGCCCUUGGUCCCUUGAUAGGUCUAUAGAGGAAGCAGAGCCCUCAAUGGACAGCCAGGUUUCGGUCAGAGCCAGAGGACACCUAAUGGAAAGAAACACAAUGUCCUUCAGGAGAGGGAAAGCUCCAGCAGGAAAUUCUAAGGAGAGUAUCCUACGGAUGCCCCCAUGAAGGGGCGGCGAGUAGAAAGAAUUUAGUUAAAAUUUAGUCAAAAAUAACAAUGGUAUGAGAACUAAUUUUUAUGAAGAUCUUGAUAUGUGUCAAACACUGUGCUCUUCCUCUCUCCAACAUGGUCCUUGCUGAAUGAGAACAUUCACAAAAAUUAUCAAGAUCUUGGUCACAGAGAAAAACUUAAAUUUUAAGAAGUGGAGGAUUUACAGACCACAUGAUUGUGCCAUGAAAGAUUAGAAAUCAUAAAAACGCAGCUAUCUUUGGACUCAGCAUUUUCAUAGCCAGAACACUCUCAGAAGUUCAACGAUAUAUAAAAAUAUUGCUGUAGCAGUUCAGAAGUGUAAUGGCAAGAGAAAGAGAAGGGUAGAAGAAAAAGAGAAAUGAAAAGAAGGGAAAAA